rnacentral:rRNA from 1 species
GGAGGGUGCGAGCGUUGUUCGGAAUUACUGGGCGUAAAGCGCGUGUAGGCGGCCUUGCAAGUCAGGCGUGAAAGCCCUCGGCUUAACCGGGGAAGUGCGUCUGAAACUGCUUGGCUUGAGUGCGGCAGAGGGAGGUGGAAUUCCACGUGUAGCAGUGAAAUGCGUAGAUAUGUGGAGGAACACCGAUGGCGAAGGCAGCCUCCUGGGCCAGCACUGACGCUCAUGCACGAAAGCGUGGGGAGCAAACAGGAUUAGAUACCCUGGUAGUCCACGCCCUAAACGAUGUCAACUAGGUGUUGGGGGAGGAGACUUCCUUAGUACCGCAGCUAACGCGUGAAGUUGACCGCCUGGGGAGUACGGCCGCAAGGUUG